GACGAACGCUGGCGGCGUGCCUAAUACAUGCGAGUUGAGCGAUGAAGCUUGGUGCUUGCACCAAUUUGAAGAGCAGCGAACGGGUGAGUAACGCGUGGGGAAUCUGCCUUUGAGCGGGGGACAACAUUUGGAAACGAAUGCUAAUACCGCAUAACGACUUUAAACAUAAGUUUUAAGUUUGAAAGAUGCAAUUGCAUCACUCAAAGAUGAUCCCGCGUUGUAUUAGCUAGUUGGUGAGGUAAAGGCUCACCAAGGCGAUGAUACAUAGCCGACCUGAGAGGGUGAUCGGCCACAUUGGGACUGAGACACGGCCCAAACUCCUACGGGAGGCAGCAGUAGGGAAUCUUCGGCAAUGGACGAAAGUCUGACCGAGCAACGCCGCGUGAGUGAAGAAGGGUUUCGGAUCGUAAAACUCUGUUGGUAGAGAAGAACGUUGGUGAGAGUGGAAAGCUCAUCAAGUGACGGUAACUACCCAGAAAGGGACGGCUAACUACGUG
rnacentral:rRNA from 1 species